GGCCCGGUGGCGGAAGCGACGCGGGAGCAGUGCAAUGCUCUUUAUCCUGGUUCAAAUCCAGGCCGGGCCUCCA
rnacentral:tRNA from 1 species